CCAUGUUGGGUCCCGCAGCGGGUCCUGAACCUUGGCCACAUCCAGGCGCGCAGCACGGCGGGCAGGAGAGAGACACCCGCUGGGAAAGAGCUGGGGGUGAUGGCUGACAGGCAGCUGAACGUGAGCCCAGAAAGGAGCAGCAAACAGAAAUCAAAGCUGCCACUGCUGCUAUCCCCCAGGCAGCCCUGGAGGUCCCCCAGGAGGGAUGUGCCUGUGACAAGGUGGAGCUGCCCUCACCUCCAGCCGCCGCUGUUUCUCAGGAUCCUCCUCGUUCAUGAUUCGCUCCUUCUCCGCCCGUUUCUUCUCCUCGCGGCGGGACUGCGCAGCCUCCUGUCUCUGCACGUGGGUCAGCUUGAGGAAGUUCUCUUCCACCCGAGCCCUGUUCUUGUCAGCUUUUUGUUUACCCUUGGCACAGAGAAAAGCAAACUCAGGUUGUACUGAGCUCCCCACAAGCAGGAUGCAGGAUCUCUACCGGUCGUACAGAAACAGAAGGAUCCAGUGGAUCCAUAAGGAGCCAGGGGUAAUGGUUCCAGUUUCACACAAUGUCAGAAGACAGAAAACCAGGCACUACUUACUUCUCUGUUCAGCCUGAACUUCUUUGCUUUGUCAAUGGAGUAGAUAACCAUGCUCAUCAGAGGCAGCAAAGACUCCAUGUCCUUUGGGGAAGUGUUGCCUGAACCAGGCACUGAAAUAAAGAGUUCCUUGUUCACUCACACAGACUGGCAGUACUUGUCUGCUUGCUGUGAUGCUCUUCCCUUAUGGCUCACACUGUUCAUGAAAUAAAGAUGCUCUUAUCCUG